AAGAUGAUCUCUAAAUAUUUUAGCCUUUAUCUUUGAUUUGCUAUAUUAAAAGUAAUAUAUUGCAUGUUCUUUCUAUUACCUAAACCUAUAAAAAUGUAAUAUUAUAAUAUUACAGCAAGUUUCUAUAUUAGUUUCAGUCUCAACAAAACAAACAUUCUUUAUAUAUUCUUUUCAUACUCUCUAUCUCAAACUCCUCACUAACUUUCGCAUAUUUUCAAUUUUAUUACUUCUAUUUUUGUUUUUUUUAGGUUUAUAUAACAACAAAGCCGAUUUGCAGUGCAUUGUUUUAUAUCUUACUUUUUUCUCAUAUAUAAUGGCGAUUGAAUGUAAUUAUCCCUUCAA
rnacentral:lncRNA from 1 species